ACCAUCCAGGUCAGCUCCAGUGAUGAAGGGUGUUCUUUGAAGCUUAAGGCUGUGGUUUUGGAGAAUGGGCUAACUCCUGCCUCUACCUAUACCCGCAAAGCUCCUGCAGGGCCCAAAAUCUCCCAAAGGUAGGUUGUUGACCCCCCCAUCUCUUCAGAGGACAUUGCCAGCCCUACGAAACCUAACACGCCUGCUUUGUCCAGUCUGGUUGAGGACCAUGAGGGUU
rnacentral:lncRNA from 1 species